ensembl:misc_RNA Metazoa_SRP Metazoan signal recognition particle RNA
GCCGGGUGUGGUGGCUCACGCCUGUAAUCCCAGCACUUUGGGAGGCCGAGGCGGGUGGAUCACUUGAGGUCAGGAGUUUGAGACCAGCCUGACCAACAUAGUAAAACCCCGUCUCUA